CAGAUUACCAGAUCUGCAGAUCAUAAUUCUGGGAAGCAUUAUUGGUUUUCUUGUGAUGGUCAUCGUCAUGCUGUUCAUGAAAAUCAGGUCUUGUCCAAAAGCUCCAGCAGAGAGACAACUCAAAAAGGACCUGGAUUGUGAUGCAGCAGUCAGUUUCCGACGGAACAGGAUAAGAGCUGCAGCAGAGAGCGAAUACAAGUCAUACGUAGUUUAUGCAGCCACUAAGUAGACCCACUGUCCAUCAAAGAC